AUUGAACGCUGGCGGCAUGCCUAACACAUGCAAGUCGAGCGAGCGGCGGACAGGUGCGUAAUGUAUGGGGACUGCCCGAUAGAGGGGGAUAACUACUGGAAACGAUGGCUAAUACCGCAUCCUGUCUGAUAACACAUAUGGGAUUAGCUAGUAGGUAAGGUAAUGGCUUACCUAGGCGACGAUCCCUAGCUGGUCUGAGAGGAUGAUCAGCCACACUGGGACUGAGACACGGCCAAGACUCCUACGGAGGCAGCAGUGGGGAAUAUUGCACAAUGGGCGCAAGCCUGAUGCAGCCAGGCCGCGUGUAUGAAGAAGGCCCUAGGGUUGUAAAGUACGUUCAGUCGGGAGGCGUUACCGACAGAAGAAGCAACGGCUAACUCCGUGCCAGCAGCCGCGGUAAUUC
rnacentral:rRNA from 1 species